rnacentral:rRNA from 1 species
UACGUAGGGGGCUAGCGUUGUCCGGAAUCAUUGGGCGUAAAGCGCGCGUAGGCGGCCCGGUAAGUCCGUUGUAAAAGUCAAAGGCUCAACCUUUGAAUGCCGAUGGAAACUGCCGGGCUAGAGUCCGGAAGAGGCGAGUAGAAUUCCUGGUGUAGCGGUGGAAUGCGCAGAUAUCAGGAGGAAUACCCAUAGCGAAGGCAGCUCGCUGGGACGGUACUGACGCUGAGGCGCGAAAGCGUGGGGAGCGAACAGGAUUAGAAACCCGAGUAGUCC